rnacentral:lncRNA from 13 species
CUCUCUUUGAGGAUGAAUGAACAGCUCCACUCAGCUCCUCUUGGAGGAUGAAUGAAUGAAUGAACGAAUGAACAGCUCCACUUAGCUCUCUUUGAGGAUGAAUGAACAGCUCCAUUCAGCUCCUCUUGGAGGAUGAAUGAAUGAAUGAACGAAUGAACAGCUCCAUUCAGCCCUCUCCAGAUUAGACUAGGUUUGGUGUACAGGAGUAUUUAUGGUCCUCUGCCCAGAUAUCUAAGUGAUUACUUUCCUCAUGUUAGGGAUGCACANNNNNNNNNNNNNNNNNNNNNNNNNNNNNNNNNNNNNNNNNNNNNNNNNNNNNNNNGAUGAGAUAGAUGUUCUUCUUCUCUGUUUUUGAUGAGAUAGAUGUUCUUCUUCUCUGUUUUUGAUGAGAUAGAUGUUCUUCUUCUCUGUUUUUGAUGAGAUAGAUGUUCUUCUUCUCUGUUUUUGAUGAGAUAGAUGUUCUUCUUCUCUGUUUUUGAUGAGAUAGAUAUUCUUCUUCUCUGUUUUUGAUGAGAUAGAUGUUCUUCUUCUCUGUUUUUGAUGAGAUAGAUGUUCUUCUUCUCUGUUUUUGAUGAGAUGGAUGUUCUUCUUCUCUGUUUUUGAAGAGAUGUUUUAUUGGUCAGUACAACGUGUUUUUUUGGUCAGUACAACGUGUUUUAUUGGUCAGUAUGUGUUUUAUUGGUCAGUACAACGUGUUUUAUUGGUCAGUACAACGUGUUUUAUUGGUCAGUACAACGUGUUUUAUUGGUCAGUACAACGUGUUUUAUUGGUCAGUACAACGUGUUUUAUUGGUCAGUACAACGUGUUUUAUUGGUCAGUACAACGUGUUUUAUUGGUCAGUACAACAUGUUUUAUUGGUCAGUACAACGUGUUUUAUUGGUCAAGUUUGGUUUCUGAUUGGCUGAUAGACUGGGAGAGUGAUGUCACCACAUCGCAGGUAUCUGGCAGUAUCCAAUGGCAUUGAUGAAACAAUACAAAGACCAUUUAGGGGUUAUAUUUUCACCAUGUUCAUCGGAAGACAGAGAGAGCGAGAAAGAGAGACAGAGAGAAAGAGACAGAGAGACAGCGAGACAGCGAGAAAGAGAGACAGAGAGACAGCGAGACAGCGAGAAAGAGAGACAGCGAGAAAGAGAGACAGCGAGAAAGCGAGAAAGAGAGACAGCGAGAAAGAGAGACAGCGAGAAAGAGAGACAGCGAGAAAGAGAGACAGCGAGAAAGAGAGACAGAGAGACAGCGAGAAAGAGAGACAGCGAGAAAGAGAGACAGCGAGAAAGAGAGACAGAGACUGAAUAAAAGAACAACGUACAAAAGGACGAAGAGAAAAAUAUUGUUUUUGCAGCCCAACUUUACUAAGCAAG